UACGUAGGGGGCUAGCGUUGUCCGGAUUUAUUGGGCGUAAAGAGCGUGUAGGCGGCCAGGUAGGUCUGGUGUGAAAACUCGAGGCUUAACCUCGAGAUGUCAUCGGAAACCAUCUGGCUAGAGUCCGGAAGAGGAGAGUGGAAUUCCUGGUGCAGCGGUGAAAUGCGCAGAUAUCAGGAAGAACACCAAUGGCGAAGGCAGCUCUCUGGGACGGUACUGACGCUGAGACGCGAAAGCCGUGGGAGCGAAGCAGG
rnacentral:rRNA from 1 species